AGUUAUUCGGAAUCCUCUGAUUUUAUCACUGUAGCGCCUUUAAAUUAUUUUGUCCCCAACUUUCUUUCCGGAAUUUGAUUUCAUAUAGUUUAAAUGUUAUCUUUCAAAAUCUUAUACAAUCCUUGUUGUUAAUUUUUCAUUUUUUUUAAGGCUGAUGUCACGAAAACAAGCGCAUUGACCUCCCCCCAAAAAUCCCCCCCCCGGCCCC
rnacentral:lncRNA from 1 species